UACCUACAUGUAUUAGAUCACAAUGGAUGAUUCCAGGGAAAUGUGAAAACUUCUGCGAGAAAAAAAGUGAGCUAAUUAUUUUGUAUAUUUACAUAGAAACUGUCUUGAAUGCUAACAUUGACUGUUUUCUACUUGUCUGCUUUAUCUACAAAAGACGUUGAAGUUUCCCCUACAGAAAUUAAAGAAAUGAUGGGCUAUAAAGUGAUGUUCCUCGAGCAUCCUGACCAUUUUAGAAAGGAAUUCAUAAUCCUCUGUAAUGCUUAGUGCUUUCUUUUGACUAUAGAAGGACCUAGAAGAAAAGUUUUUAGAUUAGCUGGCCUCAGAAGUCAACACUGUUUUGUCUCCCUCUUACCGUUCUUCUACUAAAUCCUGGACCACUGCAGCUUUGUUACUUCCAUGUAAGAAAUGCAGACCAAAUAUGCAGACCAUGACUACAUAGCUAUGUUGCUUAAGCAGUGCUAGAUAACUACUUUUCCGUUUUGGGAUACAAAUGCAUCUCCCUCCUCUCCUUGCAAGAAAGUUGUGAAGACAGCCCAAACCUGACACCAUCCUGAGGACUGUGCACCACGACCAAUGUAGCCAGUGCUCUGUUUGAAAGGAUCUGUCUCACAUUUUAAUGGAGCCAAAAUGUGCAAAUAGAUAAAAGUAAACAUUACAUUCACUCAUCCUAGAGUAUCUUGUGUUUUUUUCCCUGUUUCCUGCUCCCUCAGAAGCUCUCAUGCACACGUUACAUAGUGUCCAAACAAAUUGGAACCUCCUGCUUGGCAAAUGUCUCUCUUCUUGGAGCUCAUUCAGGAUUUUCCUGGCUGUGUCUUUAACGGAAUGGCAUCUGUACAAACCUCCACCUCGCAGGCCAGCCCUCUGACUUAUUUUCAAAAGCAAAGGCAGCAUUUAGGAAACUAUGACUAGGCAUAAAUUUGUAAAGCAAAGGAAUGCACCUUUCUCCAAUGGGAUCAGUCUAAGGCUUAAUGAACUCAGUGAAAAGAUCUUUACAGAUAUGAGGGGCUUUGUGUUAGACCUGUUGUUGGCAUCCCUUUCAGAACACAGAUCCAGGAAUGUGGAGCAGAUGGAAAUUUUGUCCCUUCACUCCGAUUGGUUGCGACAAGCUGCAGAGAUGCUGCACCUGAGUGCAUCGUGAUGUGCUUCGUUCCUCCCACGAGAUGGAGCCGCGGAGCUUAACGAGACACCGUGCACCUCUACCCCCCAAAAAACACGCUCCUCCAGGUGUGGCAUCUGACAGUCACCUUGCAGGAGCACCAACUGUGCUGAAGACAGAUGCAAAGAAACCAUUUAUCUUCUCUGCAAUCUUGUGCUUUUUGACUGGUUUCUCUGGAGGCCCAGCAGACCCACUGGUUCAUUCUGCAAUACUUCUGAUCUGUCAGGAUAAUUUAAAAGAGAAUUUCUUUGUCUUUAUGCCUUCAGAAUUUUUUCUUAAUCUUCUUUUAUAUCUUUCCUUUCAAACCUUACAUUCUUUUAUGUUAGCAACAUUUAUCUUACCUUUCUAGUAUUUCAACCGGGCUAUGCAACUUCUCAUCUUGUCCAUAUAAUUUUUCUAUUUUACACCUUUGCGAGUCCUUUCAAUUCAUUCAUAUAUAUUUGUUUUGAGAUAUGUAAGCGUUCCAUAUGUUAUCUGAGCAACUUCCGUGAUGAUACUUUGAGUUUCCAUUUUCUAAAUUUUCCCUUACUAACUUUAAAGAAAAUACUUCUUUUUAAAUUUUUGUGCUAUAAAAUUGAUUCUUCAUUUCAUGCCACCAGAAAGCAAAUCAGAUCUUAUUACAGUUAUGGUCGUUGCUUUUAGCAGCCCCAAACAACUUAUUGUAUGUUGAACAGAAUGUUGUAUCAUGUACAAGUUUAAGUCCAGACUAGUUUUCCUCUUACAUUCAGAGUGCACUGUUCAAACAAAACCAGAGUCUAUCAUUGUAGCACUGUUCUUUUCAUACUUUCCAAUUAAUUAAAACAUGAGUCACACUAAUGAGUGGUAAAUAUGGAAUGUAAAGAGGAUUUAACUUCAGUCAAAACAAGAAGCUUUAUUUCCCCUGUUAUCAAAAAGCAGAGCAAGAGAGGUAAUGUCUAGGACAGGUACACCCCAAAUUAUUUAAAGCUUCGAUUACCAAAAUCAAUACCCAAAAAGAAAUCGUUGUGGGAGCACCUAGGUAUUGUAAUACUUAGAUUUGAAUACUGUAGAUGUUAUAUUGUUUCUGCAAUCUUGUCUCAUUAUUACAAUUGAUAAUAAUGUGCUUUCUCUUUUUCAGAACAAAUAACAGAUUACAAGUCUAUUUUCAGGGUGAGGUGAAAACUUCAAUAAUAAGCCAAGCAUCAACAUAUUUAAUGAAUCCAAACAGCAAUCUACAAUGCUCUUCUCCGUUUCUUAAAAGGAAUAGAUACACCUGAGUGCUCUUGUGUAGCUGCAUCACCACUUCAGGAGGACUCCAGGGGGUUUCUUCACAGAGAGCACACAUUGAUGCACAGUGACAGGAAGGAAUAUAUCCAAAAAAAUGAAUAUUGAUGUUCACACUGUUUAUCCUCUUUAUUCUCAGGUUCACACAUAUACUUGUUGGGUUUUAUAUCUCUUUUGAGAAAACAAUCAGUUAAUAAAGAUUUUAAAUGAUUUGUCCAAAGAGAGCUCCAUGUCUGAGAGAACAGUAGUAAUGGAAAAUAGGUGAUUGCCCUGAACAUGAGCUUACUCAUUUAUAUAUAUAUAAAUUUAAUGUCAUGAAUCUUUAAAACUAAUAAAUAUUGAUAUUUAAUUACUCUAUAAACUGUAUUUACCAUAGCGUAAAAUAUGUAUAAAACCACACCAGCAUAACUCAAUAACUACUUUGUUCUAUCUUUGUGGUGUGUAGAAAUGUUAAAUGUCUAAAGACGGGUCUACAAUUAUUGAGGCUUACUGGAACUGUUUGUGUUUUAAUUUUACAUGAUAUUGUGUUAAAAUGAAUCUAUUUAAUCCUGUCUAAAUAUUUCUCAGCAAAAUUGGUGUCUAAUGCAAUAAUUCUCAGCAUAAACUUCUUUGAUAAAAACGAUGUCCUU